GAUAAUCCUAAAGGGUUCUUGAAGGAAUAUCUGUUGUUAUUGCCAAAAGAAUCUUUACUCAUUGACCGUCGAAUUGACAAACUAGUGCUUUUUGAUAAGGUAUUUGGCACUCCAGAAUCUUGUAUUUUAUGCCUUUUGUCUCCACGAGUUUCUUGUAGCCUAAUAAGCUGGGAGUAAGCUCCAUUGGUAUCCUUCACCAAUUCAUAAUGAGGACCUGUAUAGAUAGGAUAUGUUUGUGAGACUUAUUUCUAGAAUGGAUAAAAGUACAAUAUAUACAAAAGAUUCUAACCUUGUUCAACUAUUUUCCCUUGACGAACAACUGUGAUGCAGUCAACAUUCCUUACAGUGCUCAAGCGAUGAGCAACCACUAGUGUGGUUCUUUCUACCAUUAUCCUAUUGAGUGCCUCCUGAACUAUCCUCUCAGAUUCCACAUCCAAUGCACUUGUUGCUUCAUCUAGCAAAAGGAUUUUGGGAUCUUUAAGGAUGGCCCUUGCAAUUGCAAUUCUUUGUUUUUGUCCUCCAGAAAGCAGAGUGCCACGCUGACCAACUAGUGUGUCGUAGCCCUGGUAUGAAACAAAAGCAUUGUUAGCUUAAAUAUCAAAGAUGCUGCUCGAAGCAUUCAAAUUUUAUUUAUAUACAUUUGGUAACUUGUCGAUGAAGUUUGCGGCAUUUGCAAGUUCGGCUGCUCUCUUGAUCUCUUCAAGUGUUGCAUCUUCUUUGCCAUAGAUUAUGUUAUCUUUAAUGGUGGUCAUAAAGAGCAAUGGUUCUUGGCUCACAAGACCGAUCUUCCCUCUUAUCCAAUCAAGCCUCAGAUUCUUGAUGUUGAUUCCAUCUAUCAUAACUUCACCAGCCUGUGGAUCAUAGAAUCUUUCAACUAAGCUUAUAACAGUUGACUUGCCACUUCCACUCUCUCCAACUAUGGCCAUUGUUGUUCCACUGGCUACUUGCAAUGACAAUCCAUCUAAUAUUAACUGCCCUUGUCUUGCAGGGUAGCGAAAGUACACAUCUUUUAGCUUAACAUCACCCUUGAUAUUUUCUAAAACUAUGCCACUGGUAUCAUCUGAAUCUAUAUCCGGUUUCCUCUCGAUUGUUUCAAAUAGUCUGUAUGCUGCAGAUUGACCUUCUGCAAUUGCAGAAAUUGAUGGUGUUGCGUUACCUAAAGAACUGUUAUGAACAGUGGAAAGUGACAUGUUUAGGACAUUAUCAUAUCGUAUGUAAUGGUUAGUUUAUUUGUCGACAUGAAGGAAAGUUUUUAGCAACUACUAGUCCUGCAUCUAUUUACGCUUGCUGAGGAAACAUGAGAUGAAGAUGGAGCAGUGUAAAUAGAAUAAAUAACGUCCUGCAGAAGGCUUACAAGCUAGUUAUCAGAUAAAUUAUACCUAUAUAUUAAAGAAAUUAAAAUGUAAAUCAACUAGUAAUUUGAUUCAAGUUCAUGUGUUGUAGAUUAAACAGUUAAUUCAGACUUAUACAUUUGGCAUGUAGGUACAGUAGCAUCAUCAACUUUUGUGGAUAUGUCAUGCAACUUGUAACCUCUAGGUGAAUCUGCGAGUGUUUCUUCCAAUGAGAAUCCAAAAAUCUAAAAACAAUAUCUGCCUUUUCUUUUUGAUUCUACUGGAAUUACCAGCACCAUCAUCUAUUACAUAUAAAUAUAAUGAUGCUAUGUAUACCUUUUAGUGCUAUAUGAUUUUCUUUUAUAAUUUACUAAAUUACAUGAUGAUUAUUUACAUAGUAUAUUUGUUCACCCAAAUUAGCAUUUGCUACUGUUAUAGACUUACAUUCACUUAUCGCCGUGUUGUUAUCAUAUUCAUUACUUGAAAGAUUUUUUAAUUCCUGACAACUGUAAAAUAAUGAUAAUGAAUAGUUAAAACAUAACGAUAGCUAUUUGGGGUUAGCUUCCACAGAAUCUAGCGACAACUGCUAUAGCUUUGUGUGGGUUCCUUGGGAUCUCGCCAUGAAGGUGUGAUAAUUGCAAUAUACAACCUUAGUUCAAAAUUGUGCUUCAUGUUACUGAUUUAGAAGAUCUUCAUAGUGAGUUCUUUGUUUUGUUGUUAUAAUCUGAUCCCACAAAAGUAAGCGGUGCAGUUUUUUUUUCUCUUGAUUUAUGAUAGAAUUUCUAUAUUAUCUUUAUAGUAUUGUCUUUUUAAAUGCUCAAAGCGAAGGAGGGGGUUCCCUUAAGGACAGUUCUUAUUAUUAUAUAGAAAAUAAAUACUAGUCUGGAGCUCAGCUACUGCCAAUGACAUCAUGCCCUUAUUUACCACUAAACUAGUAAUAAGUUAUAAUGUUAUAUAUUAUCUAAAGGUAACACCUUGAAAGGAACAUCAAACCAACAUGUAGAAUUCCUUAUAGAAAUUACAGAAAAUAUAUUUAUUUACAUGCAUCCAUAAGAAAAAAGGUUAUAUGGAGUUUAAAAUAAAAGUUAAAAUAAUAUGUAAUCUCUAAUAUUUCGAUUCAUUCAAAUAGUCCUUCAAUAAGUUGACGGCUUAGCUACACUGAACAUCACUUAUUGUUAAAUCGGCAAUGGUCUUUGCAAUGUUAAGAUUUCAGAAACUCACGUUGCACCAGUCAACACGGCAAAUAAAAUAGUGAUGAUUGUCCCUCCAGUAUAACCUUUGUCAAUAAUUAGCUUUCCACCGUACCAGAAGGCUAGUCCAUAGCUGCUAAAUAAGAUGCAAAAGACGGAGCCCAUGCCAAAACCAUUGAUAAGGCCUUCCUCAAUAAUUGUCUUGUAUGCCCUUUUUAUGAAAUUGUUGUACAUUGCCAUAGCUUUCUUCUCACCGUUGAAGGACACAACCUGUUCACAUGAGAUAGGUUGCUACUUAUUGUUUGCUAUUCACCAAAUACUCCCUCCGUCCCAUAUUAAGUGACAAAGUUUUACAUGUAUCUAGACAUAUUGUAGCAUAUAGAUACGUCCAUAUUUAAACAAAUUUGAGUCACUUAAUAUGGGACAGAGGGAGUAUAUGUUUUAGCAUAUAUUCAACAAAUAAUUGAUAUGAUCUAAAAUGACUGAGAUAAUUGUUAUCAAUUUCAAAUAACUGGUAUAACUUGAACUCACUGUUCGUAUAGAUCCAAUUGUCUGCUCAACAGUGUCGCCAGCAUCACUGUAUGAUGUUAGUCUCUUGCUAGAAGCCCUGGUUAGUAGCUGCGCAGACACUGCACCGGCAAUAGCAACUAGUGGUAGUGAUGUUAGCAUGACAAGAGUCAGAAGCCAGCCUUUUGUGAAUGCUAUUAUAAAACCACCAAGGAAACCAGAUGAGAGUUGUACAAGCUUCCCUGCCUGUAAAUGAGAAUGCUUGAAUGUCAGCACCAGCAGCGCAAGAUUGAAAUACUGCCUAGAAAGUAUGAAAUACACUUAGCUAGUACAAAAGCUUAUGUAGUGGAGUAGUAUAUUUUCUAAAAUGAAACUACUGAUGGAUGCCAUUAACUUGUUCCUGCAGAUGAUCUGCGUAGGCAAUUGAAUGUGAUGAAAAUGUUUUGUUCAUAUAUUUAGAAAUCUCAUGAAGGUAUUACCUUUUCACCAAGAGCGCCUUGAAUUAUGACCGUAUCACUAGACAUUCUAGAAACUGCUUCACCAGUUGUCAUUUCUGUGUCGAAGAAUGCAAUAUCUUGCCUCAGAACUGAUUUCAGGUAAAAAGAACGGACCCGCGCUGACUGCCUUUCUCCUGCCAUUGUCCAGCAUGACACCUCUGGAAGAAAUGAAGGGUGAGCCUUUUUACUGGCAAUUCUGCCAUCAGUAUGCAAGUUAACUAAGUAUAUUAGUAGAUCAUUGGGAAAUAAAGUUUGUAGUUCUCAGGAGAUGAAUGCAUGACCAUUACUAAUGAUUGGUCUAUUCUGAUUACUGUAUCUCUAGGUUUACCAUUCAUGCGAGAAUAACUUUCUGUUUUGUUUUUUUCUCUGUUUCUGACCAGCACCACCCAUGGUGGUUGUGUAGCUUUUGCGCCAUUUGGGAUUUUGCUUCUAAUACAAAUAGAAGUGAUUGACGUUUUGAUGUUUGUUUAUAAAAAGGGGUAUUAUGUCAUGCUUUGGAAUCUAAUGAAGAAAUAGGUGAAACUAAUAAUAAGAGUAACUGCUUUGAGUAUCCUCUUUCACAAGCUUAUAGAAUACCCUAUAAAUAACUUGGUUAAUUAUCUUCUGCUGUUUAGUUCGGUUACAAAUGUUAUAUACCGACCGAAUGUAUAACUAACUAAUGUUUCAUUGACAGAAUUACAGGUAAUGUGUAUUUGAAAAAUAGAAUGGAAAUUAUACUUACGAAGAAAGGAGGCAACUGCUGUUCCAAUGCCCAGAUAUAUGAAGUUCAGGACAACCUAUAGAAAGAACAUUCUCUAUUAAAUCUACUCUUCAAGUGAAGUGAUCACUGUGAUCUGAGCAGUCGCUUACCUUGGUUACACUGCGGAGGACGGUGCUGCUCGUGCUCUCGCCGAAGGAGUUGAUGACGUUCCCGAAGAGGACCGAUAUGAGUGGCUCCGACAUGCCGUUGCCCAUCGCCCCCACCGUGCCGACCAUGAUCAGCAGCACGUCGAGGCGGUCGGCGUACCUGAACAUGCUGAGCAAGGGCACCUUCUUCCCGGCCGCAUCCUUCUCCGGCCGGCCAUCCUUUCCUUGCUGAUCGCCGUGGUGGCGCGCUUCUCCACUACUAGUGCCAGUACCAGUUGCUGCUGUGGCGUCCAUUUCCUGGUACCUUUGGUGAUGUGCUUGCUGUACGAGCCGCCGGCCGCACUGUGUCGAUCGUGUGUGGUUUCUGUCCCUGGUAAUGGUGGAGGCACUAUAUAUACGCAUAUUGUCGCUACCGGAGAAUGUUUUGACUGCUGGGCUUGGGUGCGGCGGAAGCUGGAAGCGACCGGGAAAGUUUGCGAUGGGAAAAGGCAAAUGGACUAAGCGCGCGGAUUAUGUUAAUUUUGACAUGUGAUUAAACGAAGAUACAAUUAAUUCAGAGCUAGUAGUAUUACUAGUACCGUUGCAAACAAUUCAAGAGCCGUGUCUCGUUUCUUCUGCUCUGCUUCAGCGUGAUCAGCUGGAUUGCGUUCCUCUUGUGAUCUCCUGAUAUGCUCGUUGGAUUCUCUGGUAGUCACCGAUGAUAUCACUAUGGAACAUGGAUUAUACUUGAGGAAGGACUAAUCGAGAUAUACUCGUGGAAUUUAUUUUUUACUGUCUAAUCAUAAUAAGAUAGCUGAAAUUUUCGGAAAACUCAGUCACUAAGCGUUCGGAUCAAUAACCAACCAUUCUCAUCUCUAAAAAGUCAUUCCGCAUAUGCUGUAAAUUGUUGUCGAAAUAUUAUAUGUAUUUAGACUUUUUUUAAGAAUAGAUACAUCCAUAUUUAGACAAAUUUGAGUCAAGAAUUUAGAAUCAGAGUGAGUACAAACUAAAAAUCACAGUAUCACACUAUCAUCAAGUAACGUGCAAUUUCAGAGUAGAUCUAAUCAGCUAAAGCGUGUAUAUAUAUAGUUCCUUUUCCUCCUUUGCAUCGUCGAUUUGUCAUCUAUGGACCAUAGAUAGAUGGACAGAGACGAGCGUUCUCUGCGCAGACUAGUCAGCGCGCGGCCCGCUGAGGCUGCUAGCUAUAACUUGGGCAGAGCGUUUCCACGACGGUGCCUGUGAAACGUUAAUGUUCUGUUCACUGGUUGUGUUGUCGAGUUGUCCUUGUACGUUUACAGUGGCCUUCCACUCCAAGAAGUUGGGGUAGCCUGCUAGCCGCAGGGGUAGAGAGAAAAUUCGUCGAGCUUUUGUUGACGGACCCAUCAUCGUUCAUGUGAGCUGAAGAACGGACGGCAGGGGUUCCGUGGGUGCCAAGCAUGCAUGAAAAGAUGCAUGGCAAUAUGGCAUGUGGUCCCUUCCAACUCGUGAGCCGCAGGAGGUUCGCAGGUAAUAAUUCCGUACAAGAGUUCCCUUGUUGACUUUGGUUGUUCCGGUCAUCACUUGGCUUCAUCGUUCAACGGUCAGCAUCUUGCUUUUUUUUUGAGGGGACGUCAGCAUCUUGCUUCCUCUCUUCUUUAGAACCGAUCAGCAUCUUGGUCCACAGGAGACCCGUGCAGCCCGUUCUCGGGGCGGCCCAACCCAAUAUCAGAGCAGGGCUUUGUACGGGGACUAGGUUGGCACUACCAUAGGCGAGAGCAGAGGCGGAGCCAGGCCCAGGAAGCCCAGCCCCGGCCUGGGUUGCGGGAUUUUUUUCUGGCCUAUACUAUACCAUGUUUGGGCCUUGGCCUGGGGCGCAACCCACUUCCAACCUCACUCGGCCCUUUGUCCUGCCAGCCCACCCCGAGCCUGCCUCCCAGUCUGCUCGGUCCCCUCGGGCCUAGGGGGGUCGUAAAGAAACGAGGGUCGACAGAGUCAGGGACGAUAGGAGAAUCGAGGUCAGAGAGAGAGAGAAGAGAGAGAGAGAGAGAGAGAGCAGCGACGUCGCCGGCGGCACCGCAAGUCCGCACGGCGCAAUCUGGCUGCCGCAGUGUCGCCCGCCACCCGCCUCCACAACUGCACUAAGACACAGGUUUCUUCUGCUGCCGCUGGCCGGCUCCCCGGCUCUUCCGCCGGUGUAUCUUACAGCCUCCAGGAGCUCCCCGAGUCGCGGCGCUAGGUCACGGUUGGGCCUCGCCGUCCGGCCGUCACCGAAUCCCAGUGCGACCGUUCGCCAUCGCCGAAUCGUCGUCCAUCUCUCCGUGGCUCCCCGGCUCGGCGACUCCAAGUACCCAAUCUCCAAUCGAUAACUCUCCUCUGUUCACUGCCCUCUCCCCACAAAUUUAUGUCCUUUGAUGUUCUUUUAUUUAGUUUAUUACUCGCCCCGUACAAUAAUUAUUGUCGUGAUUUUAGUUCAAAUUAUGUGAUGAAUUUUGAGUUCCCGUUCAAUUAGCGUACAAAUCAGAUGAAUUUGUGUACGAACCAAAUGAAUUUAUAUACAAACCAAAUGAUCAUUAGCUUAGUAGUUAACAAUUGACUAUUGUGUUAAAAUUACUACGGAUUAUCCGGAAAAGAAAUUACCCGAACGUUUGGCCUGGGGCGUGAGCCGUUGGUCAGCAGGACCACCAUUUUUUUUAACAGCAAAAUACCUUUCUAUUUCAUGGAAAUAAUAGUUACAUCGAAUUGAUAGGGUUGUACUUAGCUAGGAUAUGAUUGCGGUCAUCAAGGAUGGCUCAGUUUCCGAGAAGGGGAAGCAUGAACGAUGGGGUUUAUGCAUUGCUGGUUGAACUACACUCAAGGCGGCAUAAAGGGAUGUACAGAUAUUUAUUGUCCCUUUCUUGUUUUUUACAACUACAAGUUGAGAAAUGCAGCAAUUCUUGUGCUAUUUUGCAUUACAAGUCGUGUAAUCUAAUGUAAAUUGUAAACAAAUACAACAUUAAGGCUAACCGCCUUUAGUUCUGGUUUUGGUUAGGAGAUGGUUAGCCCUAACUGCCUAAGACAUCAGAGGUGAAGAUUGCUUCAGUAUGUGCUUUAGUUUUUUUUUAAACAAUGGGCUCCCUCCAUUGCUUUAGUUGUUCUAGGGUAUCGGAGAUUUAUGCAUUAAUUUUACAAAUAACAGAUCACCCUAGUGAUUGAGCAACUAUCUAGUGGAUAAUUAAGUAAUUGAUGAACAUCAACUAUCUACAACUCCACUAGCCGAAAAUUGACGAUGUGGGGGUAUGUAAGUGUAAACCGGCGUACCUUUGGUACUGCAGAGGUCUCCCGUACCUAUCGUCCUGGACCAUCGUACGUCAAGCUAGCCGCGGCGGCCGAACUAGUGUGGUCACCGGCGAUCCCGUCAUUCCUAUCCCAGGGAGUCGCCCCCGGCCGCCGGAGACGGAUUCACCGCCUGUAGUCUACCACGCUCGGUCUCUGCCAAGCCGUGUGAAAAGCAGAGCUGAAUCUAAGGGCUUCGAUUUUAUUUCUUUGGGAAUAGAAUUUCGAUCUUCUGUGGACUGUGUCUGUUAUGCAAGUCCACUUAGGCCCAGCCUAGUGAUCAGAACCCAUCUCGGUCAAGCGGUCAACCCCAGUAGCACAAACCAGAGGGAGAGAGUUUCCUUAAAUAAAAGCAGAAGGAGAGAGAUGCCUGAGAUUACGGCGCGGCCGCCGGCCGACGGCGGCAGCGCGGUUGCCGUCUUGCCGACCAUGAGGAAGAGCUCAUCAGUCCAGAGCCCCAGACCCAGAGGUAUGCGCUGGUCUAAAUUUCACACCCCACUCAGAAUUCUGAUCCUGCACAUCCGGUGGCGGUGGGCCAUGGGCGCGUUUAGCAGUUUAGCCCAUGUCGCCCUUCCCCACUUCCCCAGAAAACCUUUUUAGCUGUUCGUAGUCAUUUUAUCUUCCGGAGAGUAUGCGAGACGAGCUGCUCCUCGACGCGGGCGAAACUGUUGGUGCGGAACGUGCAGUUUUUUUAAGAGCCAUGGAACUAGCGAAAUUUGGUCUCAUCUCUAUGUGUUUCUUCUAUUCCUAUAUAUGCAGAUUAAUAUUAAAGCAAAUCUUCUGUUCGUAUAAGAAAAGGCCAAAUCCUCUGGUGGAAUCAGUCAAUGCAUGAACGGUUGUAUUAUACUCCACCUACCAUCAUAAGACUUACGUGCAACAAACUGCUACACUCUUGCAUUCACUUCUCAAAUCACAGACAAAAUGUACUUGUAUGCCCAAAUAGUUUUGCUAGGAACAAAGAAAUAUCAAAAGAUAUAUAUAAUUCUACUCAGAAUUUGAGCGAAGUUCAACCAGCGAAGCAUAGACUCCAUCCUUGAUUCGCAUCAGGGCAUCAUGCUUUCCUUUUUCUGCAAUUUUGCCUUCCUUGAGGACUGCAAUCAUAUCAGCCCCUUUAAUUGUGGAGAGGCGGUGCGCCACCACAAUGGUGGUCCUGCUGAUCAUGACUCGGUCCAAUGCAUCUUGAACAAUAUGCUCAGAUUCUGCAUCCAAGGCACUGGUUGCCUCAUCAAGCAGCAGCAGUAUCUUAGGGUCCUUUAUGAUGGCCCUUGCGAUAGCUCCUCGCUGUUUCUGCCCACCAGAUACUUGCACUCCUUUCUCGCCGACAAAAGUGUCAUAUCCUUGUGGCAAGCUUGAUAUGAACUCAUGAGCAUUUGCUGCCUUGGCAAUAGUCAUGAUCUCUUCCUCUGUCACCUCUCCAUGUUUCCCAUAGGUUAUGUUGGCACGGAUGGUGUCAUUGAAAAGCACGGGCUCCUGGCCUACCAGCCCCAUCUGAUCCCUUAACCAGCUAAUUCUUAUGCUCUUAAUUUCGACUCCAUCUAGUGAGAUUCUACCAGAAUCAGGAUCAUAGAAACGCUCCAGUAAAGAAAUUAUUGUGGACUUGCCACUUCCAUUUUCUCCAACAAGUGCUAUGGUCUGUGGGAAAGGAAGGCAAACGUUACAACACAGCUGUUUUUGUGCUUGUGAAUUAUCAGAUGAGCAUUUGCUGCCUUGGCAGCUGAAGGUAGCAUAAGAAUAUAUUUUUUGACCAGGGUUGCAUAAGAAUAUCACUGGAACUUGAUAGGUCACAUCCAUUUUAAGUAUGUAUUCUAGCUUGAUGCCAAGAGGUUGCAUUUAAAGUUAGUUCUCCCAAUGAAAAUCAUUUCAGUGCACCAAUAAAAAAGAAGAUCACAAAACGUUUCAAGUUAAAAGAUACCUUUCUGGAAGGAAUGUGCAAGGUGAAGUCACUGAAUAUUUGGACAUCCGGGCGUGAUGGGUACUUGAAACUGACAUUACUGAAAUCAAUAUUGCCGGUAAUGUUUUCCAACGUUAGGCCCUCACAGCUGCUUGAAUCAACUUUGGGCUUCCGAUCUAGAAUACUGAAAACAGAAAUGACGGAAUCCCUUGCCUUUGCUGCAUCAGAUGCUAAUGCACUUGACUGUGAAACCCCAGUAGCUGCCAAAACGAAAGCUAACAAAACCUGAGAAACAUCCAAUGAGUUUCCGAAUUAUUAUGAAAAGUUAAUAUCUAUAGUUCCAUAUAUAAAUGGUAACUUGAAAUGAUUUUAUUUGCAGGAAAUCUUGAAAUGAUUUUGGAAUUCUUACUUUGAAAACAUCUGCAAAAGUUAUUUUUCCCUGACGUAUGAACUGUGCGCCAACAUAGAAACAUAGAGCAUAUGUGAGAUAUGACACCAAGAAUGAGAAACCAAAACCAAGCCCUCCAACGGUUCCACUUCGAAUUCCCUGUUUCCUUAAAGCUUCACAUUUCUUGUUAUAUGUUCUGACCACUCUUUUCUCUGCACUAAAAGAUGCUACUGUUCUGAUACUACCAACAGCAUCAGUUGCAACUUGGCUUGCAUCUUCAUACAUCUCCUGCACGAUGAGAUCACAUUAUCAUUGUAAGCGAUUCAAGGGUCCUUAGGAUUGCUUAUCCUCAAACAAACAGGAAAUAAAUUUCACAGUUAUAAUGCAUUACCUUAGCUUCUUCGCUAAACCCCUUCAAGAACUUCACUUGAGCAUAACCCUGUGCACCCACUAAAGGGAUGACACAAGUGAUAACCAAUGCAAGCCUCCAAUCCGCCGAAAAAGCUAUGGCAAAGCCAGUAAUUAAUGUAGCUAUAGAUUGGACUAUAAUGGCCAGGUUAUCACCUACUAAGCGCCGGACAUUUAAUGCAUCAACUGAGAGCCUUGUGCCAAGUGCCCCACUGCAAGUGAUAAACCUAAAUCUUAACAUUUGCGUAAAUCUAAGUAUGAUGACAAAAAAUGAAUUACGAUCAUUGGAAUAUGAUACCUGGAAUUUGAGGGAUUAUCGAACCAAGCAACUUCUUGACGCACAAUGUUUUGAAAUGACAGUGUCCGGACACGCUGUAUAAGCUUGCCUCCAGCAAUUGCAAACAAAAAAUACUCUGCUGGGAUUGAAAUCAGAGAUGCAAUCCCCAGAACAACAGAUAACAGUGCCCAAAAGCUAGAAUCUUUUCGCAUCUUAUCUGGUGGCUCGUAGAAUGAUUUUAUAACACCAGACGUUAGUAUUGCGAACAGUGGGAAAAUGAGUCCAUGCACUGCUGCCGCUAUAGAACCGAGCAGAAGAAAUGGCACCUCUGGCUUGUUAAGAGAAAAAAGACGUCGAAUUGGUGCUUUCUUAAGGGCCUUCGCGUCGGUAAGCUCGUCCUUUUUGUGUCCGCCUGUGUUUUCAUCCUCAUGCAACUCUACAGACAAUCCUAAAGGGUUCUUGAAGGAAUAUCUGUUGCUAUUGCCAAAAGAAUCUUUACUCAUUGACCGUCGAAUUGACAAACUAGUGCUUUUUGAUGAGGUAUUUGGCACUCCAGAAUCUUGUAUUUUAUGCCUUUUGUCUCCACGAGUUUCUUGUAGCCUAAUAAGCUGGGAGUAAGCUCCAUUGGUAUCCUUCACCA
rnacentral:lncRNA from 1 species